GUCCACGCUGUAAACGAUGACGACUAGGUGUGGGGUGGUUCAGUCCAUUCCGUGCCGCAGCUAACGCAUUAAGUCGUCCGCCUGGGGAGUACGGCCGCAAGGUUGAAACUCAAAGGAAUUGACGGGGCCCGCACAAGCGGUGGAGCAUGUGGUUCAAUUCGAUGCAGAGCGAAGAACCUUACCUGGGCUUGACAUGUAGGAAGUAGAAACCCCGAAAGGGCGACGACCUGUUAAGUCAGGAGCCUACACAGGUGGUGCAUGGCUGUCGU
rnacentral:rRNA from 1 species